GAUGAACGCUGGCGGCGUGCCUAAUACAUGCAAGUCGAGCGAACAGACGAGGAGCUUGCUCCUCUGACGUUAGCGGCGGACGGGUGAGUAACACGUGGAUAACCUACCUAUAAGACUGGGAUAACUUCGGGAAACCGGAGCUAAUACCGGAUAAUAUAUUGAACCGCAUGGUUCAAUAGUGAAAGACGGUUUUGCUGUCACUUAUAGAUGGAUCCGCGCCGCAUUAGCUAGUUGGUAAGGUAACGGCUUACCAAGGCAACGAUGCGUAGCCGACCUGAGAGGGUGAUCGGCCACACUGGAACUGGGACACGGUCCAGACUCCUACGAGAGGCAGCAGUAGGGAAUGUUCCGCAAUGGGCGAAAGCCUGGCGGAGCAACGCCGCGUGAGUGAUGAAGGUCUUCGGAUCGUAAAACUCUGUUAUUAGGGAAGAACAAAUGUGUAAGUAACUAUGCACGUCUUGACGGUACCUGAUCAGAAAGCCACGGCUAACUACGUG
rnacentral:rRNA from 1 species